GUUGAGUAUGCAUAUAUUAAAUUCUAAACUUGACUUGAACAUUUUAGCUUAAUUUCCCCCUUUUUUUAUUCUUUAAAGUUCAACUGAGAUAAAUAUCAGUUAGGUGUAUGUGAUUUGAGAGAUGCAACUUUUGCAAUAAGAUACAUGCCACAGUUAACAUUAAACUGGCAUAAAGCACAUCGUUGCUCAAUUCAAUACCCAGAAUGAUUUAUCUCAGUGAGUCAAGAAGUUUAUGAUGUUAGCUACGUAGCUAUGUAAGAUAACAACUGAUAAACCUGUAUUUUAACCUGAAAACUUGUCAGUGUGGAAAACACUUGAAGAUGUUGUCUGAAAUUCACCAUAUAUUGUUUUCAUUGUUCUCUUUUAUUCAUGAAAAGCAGAUUAUCUUCAUCCCUCCUUCCCACUUCAUGUCCAUGAAUGAAUACUCUCAAAUGCUUCCCUCACUCGCCGCAUAUAUGAACUGCAUCCCGGCCUGGCUGGCCAUUAAACAUUAUUCCCUCCUCAGCUUUGCUUAGUAAGAAACAGACUAUGAAUUUGACUAUUAUUAAAUGUUGAGGUACUGAUGUAGAAUGAGAGGGAUCCUAAUCUAAUUUCCUGGUUGUGCAUGCUCAGGUCAACAUUUUAAAAAUACUUUCAAGGGGGGGUUUGUGUCUUUUUGUUCCUUUAGAACCAAUGUUACUCUUUUCCACGAAUGGGGAGAUGAAGGAGGGAGUUAUGGGGGAAGCAGGAGGAGAAAAAGCAGCAAUAAACACCUGCUUGCAAUUUUACAAAACAAGAGAAAAAAAAUCUUCAAUCUGGGCUUGAAUGACUGGCUGGCUGGCUGGCAUAGGAACACGGCGUUGUUUCUCAGAUCAAUGCGAUAUCAAGCCCACCUAAACGCUGGCCAGGUGUUGACAUUUUUGACACAUGGCUAGAGAGAGGCCUUUGUAGGUAAAUCUACUCUGGAGCAGAGAAAUGUGAUAAAUGUCUUGAACACUCUUGGAAAUUCAUCGUGUCCAUAUGUACAUUCUAGGCACAGCUCAGUCAUCAAAUAUCAAAGAAGAUAAGCUGUCUAGGCCACUGUUCAGCAGUGAAAGUGUUGGAUGGGAUUUGAAAUGGGUGGGGUAAUUUGUACUCUUUUGGUGAGUACUGACAAUAAGAGAAGUGUUCAAAUGUCCCAUUGGGACACCAAGUCCAUGGCAUAACAUAUCACAAUCUUUGUGAAUCAUGUUGACACAUUAUAUGUUAUUAAUUAUAGAAAUAACUGUGCCUAAUGUUUUGCAACAUGGGAGGUAUUAAAAAGAAUAGUUCUUAAUAAAAAGGGUGAUUACAUAUCUAAAACUACAGUCUCACAGUUAAUUACCAAUGUGUCUCUUUGUAUGUUGCUGCAUCCGUGUGUCUAUGUGCUGUUCAGUGCAUUCAUCUGUUUAUUUGAGCAUUCACAGCCCGCUGAAGAUUUGGACCAUCCCAAACCGCAGUGAUGUGGACAUCGGAGUUAGUACUGUCUCUGAAGGCACAGAGAAAAGAUAUCAAAGGACCGCCAUCUGGUUCCCUCAACUCCCUCUGUUCCUCUGUCCCUGUCUGUUUCUUCCCAUCUGUCUCGGUGUCUCCACAUACAUAGUUGAGGAUUUCUUGAGUUGACUUGUGGGAUGCGUUCGUGUCCUGAAGUAACGAUCGAAAGGACCACCAUGUGUCUCCCCCUAUUGGUUGCGUAAAGCCAAAGUAAAACUACCUGCAUUGCUAAGUGUCACUAGAGAAUAAGAACGAGUGGCGUGGAUAUUACACACAAUGCAGACAUCUGACAGUGUCUACUUAGGCCUCACGACCGAGCAGCACCGCCGCUGGUACGCAAACAUUUGAUUUCACUGAUGCAUGCACACACUCACAAACACAUGCACAGCUGUAAGACACAAACACACACUCACAUAUCUCAUCUCCACCUGGAAGAUCAUCCACCAUUCACCAGGUGUUCUCUGUGCAAAGUAUUCAUGGUGACUGCACUUAGUGUACAUUUCUCUGGAGCUGGACCAUGACCUGACCUCUGCAGUUUAGCCUAUCCUCAACUGAUAAGAAGAAUCUUCCAGAACAAAGCGUCCGGUUAC
ensembl:lncRNA